rnacentral:rRNA from 1 species
UUGGAGGGCAAGUCUGGUGCCAGCAGCCGCGGUAAUUCCAGCUCCAAUAGCGUAUAUUAAAGUUGUUGCAGUUAAAAAGCUCGUAGUUGAAUUUCGGGGUCAGUAGGUUGGUCAUGCCACUGGUAUGUACUGGUCUCACUGAUUCCUCCUUCCUGAUGAGCCGUAAUGCCAUUAAUUUGGUGUUGCGGGGAAUCUGGACUGUUACUUUGAAAAAAUUAGAGUGUUUAAAGCAGGCUAACGCCUGAAUACAUUAGCAUGGAAUAAUGAAAUAGGACGUUCGAUCCUAUUUUGUUGGUUUCUAGGAUUGACGUAAUGAUUAAUAGGGAUAGUUGGGGGCAUUAGUAUUCAAUUGUCAGAGGUGAAAUUCUUGGAUUUAUUGAAGACUAACUACUGCGAAAGCAUUUGCCAAGGAUGUUUUCAUUAAUCAAGAACGAAAGUUAGGGGAUCGAAGACGAUCAGAUACCGUCGUAGUCUUAACCAUAAACUAUGCCGACUAGGGAUCGGAUGAUGUUAAUUUUUUAAUGACUCAUUCGGCGCCUUACGGGAAAC